CAAGAAAAUAAAAACGAAGGAAUAAAAUACUAUGAUCUAACGUAAGGUUAGAUCCAGUAAAAAUUACACAAUAGUUUCCGGUGUAUAAACUAUUGUGAGAAAAUUAAUUGAAUGCUUCAAAAUUUGCUGGAAAAGAAAAGGAAAUAAAAAUUGCUAGGUAAAUAGAGUGCUGGAAGAUAAGAAAAACAAUAAAAAUAAUGCUGUGCCGAAAAUUGGAAAAUUUAGCGAGAGCAGCAGGGUUCCACAAUUUGUCCUAUUUAUAUCAAUCCACCAAGUGAUCGUUUCGUCUAUUCAGUAGGUUUCCUCACGUCAACUAGUCAAGCGAAAAAGCAGGAUGAACGUGCUUCUGUUAUGCGUCAAACCCAAAAAUAUAGGAAUGGAGGUGUGACGUUCGUCACACCAUGUGUUACGUUCGUAACACAAAGCAGGGGGGCGUGACGCUCCUCACACCUUGUGUGGCGGUCGUCACAGCUUCAGCGCUUCUGGUUGAUAGUUGUGGGCUGGGCUUUAGUGGAAAUUGCUUCUUAUCAUCUUUUUGCACCUCCUUUUCUUCUUUUUCACGUAUGCUUCAAAUAAUGUUGUCUGGAAUAAAUAGAAGACUUCAGCGCUUCUGGUUGAUAGUUGUGGGCUGGGCUUUAGUGGAAAUUGCUUCUUAUCAUCUUUUUGCACCUCCUUUUCUUCUUUUUCACGUAUGCUUCAAAUAAUGUUGUCUGGAAUAAAUAGAAGGAAAAUACCAAGUAAUAUCGAAUAAUAUAAAAUAAAUCGAAACAAAUAAUAAUAUAAUUUAAUUAAAUCGAGUCCAAAAGUGUGAUAUUAUUUCAUGCUAUCAACCAUUCAUAAACCUGUUUUUUUUUCUUCAUUUUCUUCUUUUGGGACUUGGAGAGUUCUAGUUGGAACUUGAGAAACUUAGUCUCCAAGUCUUCAAUCUCUUAAGGUUCAUCAUCUGUUGCCUCUAGCUUAGUCAUAAUGGCCCAAGAAUUAUCCAAAAAUGCAUUAUUCUUGUAUUUAAUAACCUUAUCAUCAUAAUUAGUGGAAUGAUCUUCAGCUUCAAAAGUGGCAUCUACAAACUCUGAGUCAUCUGAGCUAAUCACCUCAGUCCUCUUAUCUGGUUAGUGGGAAACAGGCUUGACCCUAACAUUUAAAUUUUCAAGUGAGUGAUUAAUAUCCUCAUCCACCCUAAUGCCAUUUAAAAUUUCCAAC
rnacentral:lncRNA from 1 species